rnacentral:rRNA from 1 species
GACGAACGCUGGCGGCGUGCUUAACACAUGCAAGUCGAACGGAAAGGCCCCUUUGGGGGUACUCGAGUGGCGAACGGGCGGGUAACACGUGAGUAACCUGCCCUUCACUUCGGGAUAACUUCAGGAAACUGGGGCUAAUACCUGAUAGGAAACCGUGCUUGAUGGUGGGGGUUGGAAAGCUUCGGCGGUUUUGGCUGGACUCGGGGCUUAUCAGCUUGUUGGUGGGGUAGUGGCUUACCAAGGCUCUGACGGGUAGCCGGCCUGAGGGGGCGACCGGGCACAUUGGUACUGCGGGACGGCCCAGACGCCUACGUGCGGCAACAGUGGGGAAUAUUACACAAUGGGCGGGAGCCUGUUGCGGCAACGCCGCGUGCGGGAUGACGGCCUUCGGGUUGUGAACCGCUUUCAGCAGGGGCGAAGCUUGUGGUGACGGUACCUGCAGAAGAAGCACCGGCUAACUACGUG